AGACCUUACCGUCAAUCUUUGAUCAAUGGUUGACUCGUGGUCAAUGAGUCUCAAACUAUUUUAGAAUUUCCUUGAAGAUGUGCCUCAUGUGAAUUUCGUAUUCUAUUGAUAAGAGUUUUGAGUUGUGAUCCGAUAAUUGUUAUAGGCGCCAAUCUUUCAGGACGCCUCAAUGCUCGUGCUAGGGAAUCAAGCAUAGACUCCAGGUGAGUGAGUCUUUUCCUUUUAUCAUAGGCAUAUAGUUGAUAGUUCCACAAAUGCUUCUAAAUUGAUUUAUGCAUUUUAUGCCAUGUUAUAUAUAUAUAUAUAUAGGUGUAUAUGUUCUAAAGUGCUAAUAGAUGGUUGAGUUUAGAUUAUAUCAUAGUAUAUCCAUAUGCAUGUUAUCUACAAUUAAUUAUUAUGAACUACAAAUGGCUUGAUCCCUGUUUAGGGUACGUAGGCAGUCUAACAAAACGUUAGAUGCAGCCAUACAAUAAACGAGACUAAAUACUUGAGACAAUGGCCUUGUUUGGUGAAUUUAGUAGUGUGAAGGAGAUUGGUAGAAAAUGCGAGAUAUAACCUUAGGAUUUGGUAGUUAAAUGUGGGUCAUAAAUUUAAGAUGUAAAGAAUCAAGAAAUUGAAGUAAGGAAAGGUAAGUAAUGAUACUUAAUCUAACUAGUGUCUAAUUGGGCUUAUCACCGAUGAUUACUCUCGAAAGUAAAUGGUUCGAGAGUGGGGCGUUAUAGUUAUUGCAUUUUAAGCCAUUUGUUUAUGUGUUUAUAUAUCUGGAAAUAUUAUGAUAUGGUUGAAAUUCAAAUUUACAUCCUGAUAUAUCCAUAUGUAUAUUCCUUGCACAUAAUUAUUGUGAACGCUCUGGAGCGCAAGAAUGAACGCAGAACACACAGGUAAGUUCAGGUAAGUUCAAUUAAGUAUACGGUAUUAGUUGAACUGAUGGGAUUAUGGUAUGACUACAUUUAUGUUUUAAGUAACUCCAACAAGGUCGUACAGGUUGCAAUAGUAGGCAACUCCGGCAUUGUUGUACAUGUUACUUAUGAGUCGUACAUGUGGUAUUAGAUACAUUUAAAGCUCAUAAACCUGCACCCUAGUGUUAGUGCUCCUGCCCGUGGCCACGGCACAGUCCUUCACAUAAUGUUCACCUUCUGCACCAUAAGCUCACCUUGAAUUCAAGGUAGGUGCACAUGCCUGUUGUACAGACCACUACAGUGGUUCCGACUUGUAGGUGACUCUUCACGUGAUCCUAGCACUUGAGCGUAUUCAUUUACACCCAAUCAUGUCGUAUAGACCACUACAGUGGUUCCGACUCGUGUGCAGGUGUAGUGCCGUAUACGUCACUAGAGGUGACUCCGGUUAGAUUGAGAUAUGAGUUAUAGACUUAGCCGUACAGGCCACAAGAGGGGGAUCCGGCUUACAUAUCAUUUGAAUAUGUGAUGAGCUAGCAUAUGUGAUGAACAUAUGAUCAGCUAGCAUAUGUGAUGAAUAUGUGAUAAGCUAGCAUAUGUGAGCUAGCAUAUGCGAUGAAAUAUGCGAUGAAUUAGUAUAUGUGAUGAGAUAUGGGUAAGUCGUACAUGUCACCAUAGGUGACUCCGACUUGCGUACUAGUAUGAGUUAUUAAUCACAUAAUUAUUUGAUAUUGCUGACGAGGUGCUGUAUUGUGGUAUAUUUAUGAUAUUUUUUCUGGAAAUUAUACAGGUGUUGUAGCGAGGGGUUAUAAUGUUUUAUAUGGUUUCUACUAAAAUUUUAUUUACAGGGCCACUUACCUUUGUCUUGUCUUCACCCUCCAGGUCUUAUUGGCUGAGGUUUUUUAUCGUCGAAGAUUCAUGGCGAUUCUUAGUAUUGGAGAUUAUUUCAAGGGUACGAUUCUUAAUUAACUCUUCUGUACUUGCUUAUGCUCUAACGUCACAAGUGAAAUGAGUUCAUUCCCGCUCACUGGUGCACUCUGGUAUUUAGACACUCUUAGGUUUAAAUUUAUUCAUAUUUUUCCACAUCAUCACACUUUAUGGCUCCGUCACCUUCCAGGUGUCAGCUAGCACAACUCGAUUCGGAGUCUUAGUGGACAUUUUGGGUUGGGGUGUGUCAUUUCCUCCAUAUAACCCAUUAUCCAUCCUAAGAAAUUACACACCAAAAUCAAAAUCUCUAUCAUUCUUCAUAGUUUCUGCUUCAUUCUUAUAAUGGCUCAUUCAACAAUAUACUUCACUUCAGGACGCAUAUAUUCACAAUGCACAACGAAUUGACUUGAUAGAGCAUCAAUGGAAAUUGAAACAAGCUCAAGAAACUUAAGUUCAUUUAGUAUGUUUGUUUUUAUUUGGUGUGUCUAUGUCCUUUGAAUAAAGAUUCUCUUAGUUUAAAUAAAUUACCAAAUUAAAUAAAUAUACUCUUAGUUUAAAUAAAGUACUAAAUUCAAUAAAUUGGAAACAACAUAAAGUACUUUAUUCAAUAAAUAAGAAAUUACAACCCAAAGUGAUUGAAAAAUUAUGGGCUCCGAUUAAAAACAAAUUCCUAGUCCCUCGUGAAUGGAAAAUCAUCACCUAACCAAUUUGUGGUGCUAGGACCAUCUCCUAUUGCUCUUGUUUCUCUUGCACGCCUCCU
rnacentral:lncRNA from 1 species